rnacentral:rRNA from 1 species
UUAGCGGCGGAGGGGGAGUAACACGUAGGCAACCUGCCCUCAAGCUUGGGACAACUACCGGAAACGGUAGCUAAUACCGAAUACUUGUUUUCUUCGCCUGAAGAGAACUGGAAAGACGGAGCAAUCUGUCACUUGAGGAUGGGCCUGCGGCGCAUUAGCUAGUUGGUGAGGUAACGGCUCACCAAGGCGACGAUGCGUAGCCGACCUGAGAGGGUGAUCGGCCACACUGGGACUGAGACACGGCCCAGACUCCUACGGGAGGCAGCAGUAGGGAAUCUUCCGCAAUGGGCGAAAGCCUGACGGAGCAAUGCCGCGUGAGUGAUGAAGGUUUUCGGAUCGUAAAGCUCUGUUGCCAGGGAAGAACGCUUGGGAGAGUAACUGCUCCCAAGGUGACGGUACCUGAGAAGAAAGCCCCGGCUAACUACGUGCCAGCAGCCGCGGUAAUACGUAGGGGGCAAGCGUUGUCCGGAAUUAUUGGGCGUAAAGCGCGCGCAGGCGGUCAUGUAAGUCUGGUGUUUAAUCCCGGGGCUCAACCCCGGAUCGCACUGGAAACUGCGUGACUUGAGUGCAGAAGAGGAGAGUGGAAUUCCACGUGUAGCGGUGAAAUGCGUAGAGAUGUGGAGGAACACCAGUGGCGAAGGCGACUCUCUGGGCUGUAACUGACGCUGAGCGCGAAAGGCGUUGGGGGAGCAAACAGGAUUAGAUACCCUGGUAGUCCACGGCCGUAAACGAUGAAUGCUAGGUGUUAGGGGUUUCCGAUUCCCUUGGUG